rnacentral:rRNA from 1 species
GGGUUGUGAGGUUAAGCGACUAAGCGUACACGGUGGAUGCCCUGGCAGUCAGAGGCGAUGAAGGACGUGCUAAUCUGCGAUAAGCGUCGGUAAGGUGAUAUGAACCGUUAUAACCGGCGAUUUCCGAAUGGGGAAACCCAGUGUGUUUCGACACACUAUCAUUAACUGAAUCCAUAGGUUAAUGAGGCGAACCGGGGGAACUGAAACAUCUAAGUACCCCGAGGAAAAGAAAUCAACCGAGAUUCCCCCAGUAGCGGCGAGCGAACGGGGAGCAGCCCAGAGCCUGAAUCAGUGUGUGUGUUAGUGGAAGCGUCUGGAAAGGCGCGCGAUACAGGGUGACAGCCCCGUACACAAAAAUGCACAUGCUGUGAGCUCGAUGAGUAGGGCGGGACACGUGGUAUCCUGUCUGAAUAUGGGGGGACCAUCCUCCAAGGCUAAAUACUCCUGACUGACCGAUAGUGAACCAGUACCGUGAGGGAAAGGCGAAAAGAACCCCGGCGAGGGGAGUGAAAAAGAACCUGAAACCGUGUACGUACAAGCAGUGGGAGCACGCUUAGGCGUGUGACUGCGUACCUUUUGUAUAAUGGGUCAGCGACUUAUAUUCUGUAGCAAGGUUAACCGAAUAGGGGAGCCGAAGGGAAACCGAGUCUUAACUGGGCGUUAAGUUGCAGGGUAUAGACCCGAAACCCGGUGAUCUAGCCAUGGGCAGGUUGAAGGUUGGGUAACACUAACUGGAGGACCGAACCGACUAAUGUUGAAAAAUUAGCGGAUGACUUGUGGCUGGGGGUGAAAGGCCAAUCAAACCGGGAGAUAGCUGGUUCUCCCCGAAAGCUAUUUAGGUAGCGCCUCGUGAAUUCAUCUCCGGGGGUAGAGCACUGUUUCGGCAAGGGGGUCAUCCCGACUUACCAACCCGAUGCAAACUGCGAAUACCGGAGAAUGUUAUCACGGGAGACACACGGCGGGUGCUAACGUCCGUCGUGAAGAGGGAAACAACCCAGACCGCCAGCUAAGGUCCCAAAGUCAUGGUUAAGUGGGAAACGAUGUGGGAAGGCCCAGACAGCCAGGAUGUUGGCUUAGAAGCAGCCAUCAUUUAAAGAAAGCGUAAUAGCUCACUGGUCGAGUCGGCCUGCGCGGAAGAUGUAACGGGGCUAAACCAUGCACCGAAGCUGCGGCAGCGACGCUGAUGCGUUGUUGGGUAGGGGAGCGUUCUGUAAGCCUGUGAAGGUGUGCUGUGAGGCAUGCUGGAGGUAUCAGAAGUGCGAAUGCUGACAUAAGUAACGAUAAAGCGGGUGAAAAGCCCGCUCGCCGGAAGACCAAGGGUUCCUGUCCAACGUUAAUCGGGGCAGGGUGAGUCGACCCCUAAGGCGAGGCCGAAAGGCGUAGUCGAUGGGAAACAGGUUAAUAUUCCUGUACUUGGUGUUACUGCGAAGGGGGGACGGAGAAGGCUAUGUUGGCCGGGCGACGGUUGUCCCGGUUUAAGCGUGUAGGCUGGUUUUCCAGGCAAAUCCGGAAAAUCAAGGCUGAGGCGUGAUGACGAGGCACUACGGUGCUGAAGCAACAAAUGCCCUGCUUCCAGGAAAAGCCUCUAAGCAUCAGGUAACAUCAAAUCGUACCCCAAACCGACACAGGUGGUCAGGUAGAGAAUACCAAGGCGCUUGAGAGAACUCGGGUGAAGGAACUAGGCAAAAUGGUGCCGUAACUUCGGGAGAAGGCACGCUGAUAUGUAGGUGAGGUCCCUCGCGGAUGGAGCUGAAAUCAGUCGAAGAUACCAGCUGGCUGCAACUGUUUAUUAAAAACACAGCACUGUGCAAACACGAAAGUGGACGUAUACGGUGUGACGCCUGCCCGGUGCCGGAAGGUUAAUUGAUGGGGUUAGCGCAAGCGAAGCUCUUGAUCGAAGCCCCGGUAAACGGCGGCCGUAACUAUAACGGUCCUAAGGUAGCGAAAUUCCUUGUCGGGUAAGUUCCGACCUGCACGAAUGGCGUAAUGAUGGCCAGGCUGUCUCCACCCGAGACUCAGUGAAAUUGAACUCGCUGUGAAGAUGCAGUGUACCCGCGGCAAGACGGAAAGACCCCGUGAACCUUUACUAUAGCUUGACACUGAACAUUGAGCCUUGAUGUGUAGGAUAGGUGGGAGGCUUAGAAGUGUGGACGCCAGUCUGCAUGGAGCCGACCUUGAAAUACCACCCUUUAAUGUUUGAUGUUCUAACGUUGACCCGUAAUCCGGGUUGCGGACAGUGUCUGGUGGGUAGUUUGACUGGGGCGGUCUCCUCCUAAAGAGUAACGGAGGAGCACGAAGGUUGGCUAAUCCUGGUCGGACAUCAGGAGGUUAGUGCAAUGGCAUAAGCCAGCUUGACUGCGAGCGUGACGGCGCGAGCAGGUGCGAAAGCAGGUCAUAGUGAUCCGGUGGUUCUGAAUGGAAGGGCCAUCGCUCAACGGAUAAAAGGUACUCCGGGGAUAACAGGCUGAUACCGCCCAAGAGUUCAUAUCGACGGCGGUGUUUGGCACCUCGAUGUCGGCUCAUCACAUCCUGGGGCUGAAGUAGGUCCCAAGGGUAUGGCUGUUCGCCAUUUAAAGUGGUACGCGAGCUGGGUUUAGAACGUCGUGAGACAGUUCGGUCCCUAUCUGCCGUGGGCGCUGGAGAACUGAGGGGGGCUGCUCCUAGUACGAGAGGACCGGAGUGGACGCAUCACUGGUGUUCGGGUUGUCAUGCCAAUGGCACUGCCCGGUAGCUAAAUGCGGAAGAGAUAAGUGCUGAAAGCAUCUAAGCACGAAACUUGCCCCGAGAUGAGUUCUCCCUGACUCCUUGAGAGUCCUGAAGGAACGUUGAAGACGACGACGUUGAUAGGCCGGGUGUGUAAGCGCAGCGAUGCGUUGAGCUAACCGGUACUAAUGAACCGUGAGGCUUAACCUUACAACGCCGAAGGUGUUU